AUAACAGUUAGAAAUGACUGCUAAUACCGCAUAAGACCACAGCACCACAUGGUGCAGGGGUAAAAACUGAGGUGGUACAAGAUGGGCCCGCGUCUGAUUAGCUAGUUGGUGAGGUAACGGCUCACCAAGGCGACGAUCAGUAGCCGACCUGAGAGGGUAACCGGCCACAUUGGGACUGAGACACGGCCCAAACUCCUACGGGAGGCAGCAGUGGGGAAUAUUGCACAAUGGGGGAAACCCUGAUGCAGCGACGCCGCGUGAGUGAUGAAGUAUUUCGGUAUGUAAAGCUCUAUCAGCAGGGAAGAAAAUGACGGUACCUGACUAAGAAGCCCCGGCUAACUACGUGCCAGCAGCCGCGGUAAUACGUAGGGGGCAGGCGUUAUCCGGAUUUACUGGGUGUAAAGGGAGCGUAGACGGAACAGCAAGUCUGAUGUGAAAACCCGGGGCUCAACCCCGGGACUGCAUUGGAAACUGUUGAUCUAGAGUGUCGGAGAGGUAAGUGGAAUUCCUAGUGUAGCGGUGAAAUGCGUAGAUAUUAGGAGGAACACCAGUGGCGAAGGCGGCUUACUGGACGAUGACUGACGUUGAGGCUCGAAAGCGUGGGGAGCAAACAGGAUUAGAUACCCUGGUAGUCCACGCCGU
rnacentral:rRNA from 1 species